GCAGCGGGCUCCUCGCCGCCGCACCCUGGGGCAGUCUUUUUACCACAGCGUCUCCUGCCCUCUGUGAGAUCGGCCAUUGUAAUUCCAGCUGCUUAGGAAAGAAAUGUGUUAAUGUUGUUAGACAAAAUGUUCAUUGCUCCCCAGACUUUCAUUCUCUCCCUGCUGUCAAACACUAGCGCCGCCGGGAAGGACUGGCCCAGGCAGGAAAGGCACCUGGUGAAUAUUCGUUGACUGCAGUCACCCUCAGCCCAGGAGAGUGCGGAGAUAGCGCCGGGCUCGCUGGAGGAGGAACAGGUUCCAGGCUCAGCUCGCGUGAGCAAGUUGUUGAGCCGCUGCUCUGGAAGCCUGUUUCUACCUCCAUCAAGGCCUACCCGGUCCUUGGAGAAUCAAAUGAGCUAAGGGCCAACCCAUGUUGAAACCGGUAACCCUGCUUCCACCUUCUCUCACACUUCGUCAGGCACCUGACCACCAACCAAGUCACUCCAGGGAAAUUCAUGGCUUUUCUGCAAGACACUGCCACACAGAGCUGCUCCGACCAGACGUGGUGACUCCAAGUUUUCAGGCCACAGACACAGAUCUACCUUCUCUUCUGUUCCUAAGAGAUGCCUAUCUCUGGCCAGUAGAGAAUGAGAACACUUUUUUCUUUAUUUAUGUAGCAAUUUGUUCUGCUGACUACCCAUUUGUAUAUUUUUUUAUUUAUACUAUGAGUUUCCAGAAGACAGGGCACAUCUUAAUCAUCUUUGCAUCUGAGAGAGUACCAAACACAAACACAGCGCUUUACCCAUUGAUACCCAGAGUACUUAGUAAAUUAUGAGUUGAAUUUUUGUCUUUCUUAUAAUGUAAGAUCCCGAAAAUUGAGAAUCAUGAUUAAGCUAACUGCCAAGCAAAUGGUAAAUGCUCAAUAAGGGAUGAUGACUAUUAUUAACUACAUAUUUCUCUCUCUUCCAGACUCCCAUAGCACAUUCUAUUACUUCUUCCAUUACAUUUAUCACUUUCUGUUUUGGGGUGGAUUCUAGAUAUGUGGGAGUGUGCGAGUGUUCCUCCAAAACUGGAACACCUUGAAGGCUAGUGUUGUGUUAUUCAUCUUAGUGACCUCUCUAUCAAAAGUAGCUAGUUGAGUGCAUCAAAGACACUCAAUAAACAUUGCUUAAUAAACUGA